GGGCAACCUGCCUGUAAGACUGGGAUAACUCCGGGAAACCGGAGCUAAUACCGGAUACUAUGUCAAACCGCAUGGUUUGACAUUCAAAGACGGUUUCGGCUGUCACUUACAGAUGGGCCCGCGGCGCAUUAGCUAGUUGGUGAGGUAAUGGCUCACCAAGGCGACGAUGCGUAGCCGACCUGAGAGGGUGAUCGGCCACACUGGGACUGAGACACGGCCCAGACUCCUACGGGAGGCAGCAGUAGGGAAUCUUCCGCAAUGGACGAAAGUCUGACGGAGCAACGCCGCGUGAGUGAUGAAGGUUUUCGGAUCGUAAAACUCUGUUGUCAGGGAAGAACAAGUGCCGGAGUAACUGCCGGCACCUUGACGGUACCUGACCAGAAAGCCACGGCUAACUACGUGCCAGCAGCCGCGGUAAUACGUAGGUGGCAAGCGUUGUCCGGAAUUAUUGGGCGUAAAGCGCGCGCAGGCGGUUUCUUAAGUCUGAUGUGAAAGCCCCCGGCUCAACCGGGGAGGGUCAUUGGAAACUGGGAAACUUGAGUGCAGAAGAGGAGAGUGGAAUUCCACGUGUAGCGGUGAAAUGCGUAGAGAUGUGGAGGAACACCAGUGGCGAAGGCGACUCUCUGGUCUGUAACUGACGCUGA
rnacentral:rRNA from 2 species